CUCUCAGCUACCCCCUUGAACCUCGCACUUGACUGUAAAUACCAACGUCGCUUCGCUAACUCGGGGAGGGGAUUUGGGGAGCCAAAUCUCCGUCCCGCCGGCGGGCAAAGGUUUGAAGAUGGGAACGCGGAGCGAGCCGGAUGCGGCUCCACCAUGCCGACCCUUGGGGCACGAGCGGAGCGGGAAGGAAGGAAGGAAGGAAGGAAGGAAGGAAGGAAGGAAGGAAGGAAGGAAGGAAGGAAGGAAGGAAGGAAGGAAGGAAGGAAGGAAGGAAGGAAGGAAGGAAGGAAGGAAGGAAGGAAGGAAGGAAGGAAGGAAGGAAGGAAGGAAGGAAGGAAGGAAGGAAGGAAGGAAGGAAGCCGUGUUGUGCAGGGCCUGCGCCUGGAAGCGGCGUUUCUUCGAGCAUCUUUCGCCCGACGCGCCAGCAGCCCGGUGCGACUGCAGAAGUUUAAAAAUGGUGACUGAGUUGUACAGGAGAACCAGGACAAUCCCAAAAAGGGCAAGUGGCUGCUGGGAAGCUACUACGGGAAAGGAGGUUUACUAA
rnacentral:lncRNA from 1 species